rnacentral:rRNA from 1 species
GACGAACGGUGCGAACGUUGUUCGGAAUGACUGGGCUUAAAGGGCGCGUAGGCGGGCCUCCCAGUCCGGGGUGAAAGCUUUCGGCUUAACCGGAAAAGUGCCUUGGAUACUGGAGGUCUGGAGGGAGGUAGGGGCAAUCGGAACUUCCGGUGGAGCGGUGAAAUGCGUUGAUAUCGGAAGGAACGCCGGUGGCGAAAGCGGAUUGCUGGACCUUUUCUGACGCUGAGGCGCGAAAGCCAGGGGAGCAAACGGG